GCUCUCUUCCGGAGUUUCGCCCUAUUGGGGGGGGCGACCCGCGUCUUCGUAUACCUCUUCGUGUAAAAAGUCUUUGAAUGUUAUCAUCAUCAUCGAGUCGCGACUUCUAGGAGACGCGAUUCUUUGAGACAAAAGUUAUUACAACUUUCAGCAACGGAUCUCUUGGCUCUCUCAUCGAUGAAGAACGCAGCGAAUCGCGAUAUGUAAUGUGAAUUGCAGAUCUACAGUGAAUCAUCGAAUCUUUGAACGCACCUUGCGCUCCUCGGUGUUCCGAGGAGCAUGCCUGUUUGAGUGUCAGUAAAUUCUCAACCCCUCUCGAUUUGCUUCUACAGGGUGCUUGUAUGUUGGGGGCUGCCGGAGACACUGGACUCUUCCAGGACUCGGGCUCCUCUUAAAUGAAUCGGCUUGCGGUCGACUUUCUACUUUGCAUGACAAGGCCUUUGGCGUGAUAAUGAUCGCCGUUCGCCGAAAUGCAAAACAGAACGGUCCCGUGCCUCUAAUGCGUCGACACCUCUCGGGGCCGUCUUCCUCAUUGACGUUUGACCUCAAAUCACGUAGGACUACCCGCUGAA
rnacentral:rRNA from 1 species